GUUGAGGAAACGCAUAGGUAUUGGAUGCAUGCGCCUUAUUUGCAAGUACGUGUGCAUGCAGACGGGAUGUAUACGCGGGCAUGUGGACGUAAGUUCGUAGUUCCGUAGUAUUUGUGCCGGUGUGUAAAGGUGCGGGGGAAGUUGCACGUACUCGUCUCUUCAGUCGGUAACUACGUGUGCUCGUCUACAUACUCUAUCUAUGUGUAAAUGUAAAAGUAUAAACUUAGAUGAUGGCGUGUGUGAGACGUGCAACUGCGUCAGUACCCCGGUGCCAAAACCGGUGGACAGGCUGUUUGAAAAGAACUUUCAGGUGACAAGGUUCGCGGCAUUUCGCUCUUGAUUCUCUGUGUCCUUGGAUCCAGCUUGCGUCUGCUCCGUCUCCCCUUGGGGUGAAUGGACAGUCUGUGACUCACGAUUUUCCUACGAACCAGCCUGGCGCAGCCGCACUCUUCUGGUGAGGCCUUCAGCCCCGACCACUCUCUGUCUUUUCUUUUCUCUUGGCUGCCAUGUGGUCCAUCUUGAUGUUCCCGAGGAUCCCUGUGGGGCUUGCCGUCGACGUUCACUUCAACAGCAGCCUCAGACAUACAGAGGAACACUCCAGAGCACUGCCGGUAUCUACAUAUGUCUACCCAUAUACAGGGAGACAUACAGCCCCUCCAGAGGUAUCAUCGUAAUUGUGUUCUCAAUGGCAUCGCCGUGAAGAACCUUCUACGAUUUUGCCGCUCGCGAACAUGACUGUUUUGACUGCAGAAAGGAUCACAGUGUGUCCCCCUCUUCGAGUCUCGUACAUGCGUCUCGGACACCAUGUGCACAAGCUAUCAUAAGCCAUUGGCGUCACAGACCAUCGAUGUAAACGAUAAACGACUCAUGGACGAGAUUGUCAAGAGCUGCCAACCUGCCGUUAGGGCGGCGCUGCAACAGCUCCUGGAGAUCGAAGACCCGGAAAUGAUUCAAGAUGAGGGUUUUUCCCUUGAGCGCUCCGAGUGGCGUGUAGCUGCCUUGCUAGGCCCUGGCAUGAGCAGCGUUGAAGCAACGACACGGAUUGCGAAUGCCUUGUCAAACGCGGGCUCUGCUCUCUUCCGUGCAGUUGCCUCAUGCAAAACUGACUGAGAAGAAGGCUGACCAGCUGGCGCGCUCUGUCGCUCAGCCGAGAUCUGCGCGCUUCUCGUGCUCGUCGUUUCUCUUGCGGAUGGGGACAGGCCCGAGUGUUCUGAGAGGCCGCUGAAAAGCGAUGAACCGGCUUUCGAAACGGGAACCAGUGGCAAAAGUCUAAACGGACAGAAUCUCGUUCCUUACCGAGCGGCUCUGCCCAACACCAGACUCAGGGAGAAGACAGUUUCGCGGUAUCUCUUCUCACGAACGGCCUAGCGUGCUUCCAUCGCAUAUCUGUGGAGGCCAAAGGACCCUUCCUUUGUCUCUCGGUGGAGGCUCAUGAUCCCAAAGGCCGCGCGCCAGUGAACCGAGAGGGAGCGCAGAUAGGAAGGAGACAAGACAAGAGCACUCUGGGCCGUUCCAUCGUCCACUGCUCCGACAGCAGAUGUCUUUCAGGCUGAUCAGACACAGUGUCAAGAAUCUCCAUGUCCAUUUCAGGGGAUUUCUUCGGGAGCGGCGGGUUGGCAGCUAGGCGGCGUGAGGCAGGGAUAAGCUUUCCGGCAUGUCUCCAUCUCGGCGCAGGUCAUACGGCGCCUGCUCUAUGGAGAACUCGAGGGGUUCUUGAGAUGCCAGCGCCAUCGACCGGCGUCGGGGAGGGGUUUAUCACUUCGGACUCUCGCGCAGAGCCGUUCAGUGAGCCGCGUACUCGGCCAGCAUCAAGAGGCUGUCGACAGGCACGCCUGCGAACAUGAGGUUCGUUUCUUGUUGCGUGUCCCGUCUCCACGAACGAACAAGAAGCCUCUCUUCGGAGGUCUUCUCUCGGAAUGACGGCCUGCGACAGCCCUUGAGAGGCCAAAACUCUCAAUCGUCAAGAAAACACAGGGGGGACAGCAGGAGGCGAAUGUGCUGCUCGGCGAGCCUUGGCCAGGUGGCGCCCAAGGAGCCCGAACCGCUCGCAUGCUUCGUCAGCUGCCCCAUUCCAACAAGACGGAGCCGCCGGCACCGAAGCCCGAAGAUUUCGCCUCUGUCUCCUAACACACACAGUUCCACUCGAGGAUAGACCAUGGAAACCCCAGGGGCCCGAACGCUAGGUUCUCCACAACCCAUCUCUCACCCCCUGCCCCUACCCGUUGUGGUCCCACAAAAACCACAAGAAAGAAGUUGCCUCACGACCGGCAUCCGGCUGCUGGCGUUGUCCGGCGGGUUCGUGUCUCAUUCCCAUGCGUUUGACGUUCCGUGUACUCGGGGCAAGGCGCGUUCAGCGGGAAUGUUUCAAAAGUUCGUUUAUCUCCACCGUACGGCGAACAUGUUCGUUUCGCGGGCGUAUCACCGUUUGGAAUCAGGCGGUACACUGGGGCGAGUGAGGCAACUGAGGCUUCCUAGGGGAGAGCUAGGUGCCAAGCCAAAGUGAUGCUUCUUUACAGCUGUACGCGAGUUCCCUAGAAGCAAGCCUGUCUAAAAACGAAACAAUCGCGACAGUGAAAACCAAAA
rnacentral:lncRNA from 1 species